rnacentral:lncRNA from 1 species
AAAAUUAGCCGAGAGUGCAUGUGCCCUUUGUUUCUACAUCUUCAUGUAAUGUACGUUCCAUAUAGAUUUGUACACUAGACAUCACGAAAAUAAAUAUAUCUACUAUGUAUAUCCAUUGAAUCACCAAGCACGAGGUGUGUGCACUUGUGAUUGGAGUAGCCGAUCUACUAAUCCAUGCACGGUGAUCAUUAGGAGACACAUAGUGCGUUGCGUGAGGAUGUCGUCGGUCUGCCGCCGGUCAAGUCUUGUGUGAUGUUGUUGAGCAGCCGGCCGCCGGCCAUGAGUAGCAUGGCGUCGUCGAGUCGCCGGCCACCAAAUCUUCUCAUCCUCAUCGAGCGACUUGAGCCGUUUCUGGCCACGUGCUCUUGAACGCCUAGUUUAUACUGCGAUAGAACUGAUCAGAUUCAGAUCGAAAUCGUAGAAAUACAAGGAACAUAAAGGACGAAACAUUGAAUGCUGAGCCAUACCUGGUCUCGAUGAUGAGAUGUAGAAGGUGGACGAUGAUGUUGCCAUCAUCAUCUCUGCCAACGUCAGGUUAGUUGUGUAUCUUGAAUUCGUUGUUUU